AAGCUAUGAGAUCAAGAAGAAUGCGAGAAAAUGGAGUCAGGAGGCCAGAAAAACAGUUGGUGAAGGAGGCAGCUCUGAUAAGCAUAUCAAUGAUUUUGUCCAGCAUUUGGAACUUGCUAAUAAGAAAGAAGAGGCAAAGGUUUUGAAUGGCUAUCGUUAGAGUCAUCAGAUUUCACAAAUCUUUUCCCCUGGAUUAGGCAUAUUCCAUAAAUUACCAGUGGGUCUUCUGAUAUUGUCUUCUUUUUCCAUAUUCUUGGUUAAUGGCUAUCGUUAGAGUCAUCAGAUUUCACAAAUCUUUUCCCCUGGAUUAGGCAUAUUCCAUAAAUUACCAGUGGGUCUUCUGAUAUUGUCUUCUUUUUCCAUAUUCUUGGUU
rnacentral:misc_RNA from 1 species